CAGUGGGGACGAUCAGGAGUAAUCUUGCCUGCCAUCUGGAAGAGAAGCCAACAUCCUCCUGUGGUUUUGCUUUCCUAGAAUCACUUCUGCUUCUAGCCUGGAAGUGGACAAGGAUGGAGAGAGAUUGGAGAUGAGCAAAAUGAAAGCAAAGCAAAGUGUUCCAUCUUCAAGAAGGGUCCCCAGAGUUACGCAGCUUCCCAGUUCUGGGUGGAACCCAGAAACUAUUGCCUCUGAGCAGAGGGCUGGAUGAGUCGAUGCAUGUGAAGCCCUUAACAACAGUGUCGGGCACCAGGAUGCCUAACCACUUUACUGGCAAGUUAGGGAAAAGGAAGGCAAGUAGAACCAAGGACAUCUUUUCCUUUUUGAGACAACAAACCUGCCCAGAAAACUGCCAGCGAUCUCCUUCACCGGCCUGAACUGUGUCACAUGGCCAAGUUGCAAGGGAGACCAGGGAAGGCUCCAGAAUGGAGGCCUUUGGACUCAGACUGGAACUACACCACGGGGUCUCCUGGGCUGCCAGGUUAUAGACAGAAAAUUGUGCCACUUCUCAGCCUCCAUAAUGGCUUUCUCUAGACCCGAGAUUCUCAUUUUCGGCACUGUUGACAUUUGGACUGGGUCAUUCUGCGUUGCAGGGGGCCGUCCUGUGCGUUGUGGGGUGUCUACCAGCUUCCUGGGCCUAGACCCCAGAUGCUGGCGGCACCCCCCACAGUCAUGACAGGUAACCUGGGCUCCUAUAGCUGCCACAUGUCCCCUAGAAGGGGGGUGGGGAGGGCGUUUGGAUCGCCUCGGGUUGAGAACCACUGUUUUAGAGCAACCCACCCACAGAAUCCUGUUUGAAGGAGGAAGAGAAGAUUAACUUAGUGUUCAGCCAGCGAUAGUGAAAAUCAUUGGUUACAAAGCAGUUAUUUUAAUCAAUUCAUAAAGUUAGAUCUCAGAAUAUGAGAGAGAGAGCAAGAGAAGGAAUCAAAGGACUCAGACAACGUAAUAGCUGCCCUUCAUUUUACAGGUGGGGACCACAGCAGGAAGUGCAUCCCAGCAUAUACAGCUAGAUGGUGAGCUAAGGCUAGUUAUUGUCAGCUUUUUUUCUUGUUAUUUCAAGUAGUUCAUGGAUUCACUUACCUAUCGUUGUGCCCCUCCUGCUGGGAAGCAUCUCAGAGUAGACGGGGAAACAACGCAUCUCAGGAUCCUUUUCCUUAUGACUGUGAAGUGAUUAAUAUUCACUAAUUUAAUUUUCAGUGGCUAGAAAUGGGCAUGUAGUACAGUAAUACACAUUUUAUGAGAUACUGUUAGAAUAAUAAAAAUGUAUCGUAAUGACGAUAUGGCUAAAGAAGUUUAAAACACGUCUUAAUAAAGAUGUAUCUCUGUUUCACUAGGA